rnacentral:lncRNA from 10 species
GAUGAAGGGCCUGCUUUACCAGCUCACCUAUGAAUAUGGAAGCAUCAGCUUACUUUUUGCAGCACAUGUGUCUCAGGGGGUUGUCCCUUCCCACAGUGUGUAGAUUGGCAUCGAGAUGACGUUCUCUCUCCAGGGUGCAGUGAUGACCGACAUAUGCAAUCUCUUUGAACAGAGGUUUAUUCAAUGAAGGAAAGGUGGAGGGAAGAAGGGAAGAAUUACAAUGGUUAGAAAAGAGCAACUAAAGAUUAUUUCUAUUAUACUUCUGAACGGUUUUAAAAGGGACUUGAGAUCACAUGAAGAAACGUUCUCAUUUUAUAGGCAGUGACAUGGUAGCCUGUCACCUGGCCGGAGAUGGCAUGGGAGAUGGAAACGGGACCAAGCUGAGCCAGUGAGGCUCCUGCCUGAAGUUUUUACUGGAAAUGGGAGGACACACAUGUUCUC